rnacentral:misc_RNA from 1 species
UUUCCGUAGGUGAACCUGCGGAAGGAUCAUUAUUGUAUAACCGAGGUGCGAGGGCUGUCGCUGACCCGACAGGUCGUGCACGCCCGAGUGCCCUCACACACAUCCAUCUCACCCCUAUGUGGACCACCGCGUGGGUCCCCCUUUGGCUUGUUCGGAGGGGGGCUUACGUUUUCACACAAACUUUGUAUGCAGUGUAGAAUGUAUUUUUUGUUUUUGCGAUCACGCAAUCAAUACAACUUUCAACAACGGAUCUCUUGGCUCUC